GCCGCUAUAGCUUCAAUUGGUAGAGCACCGCACUUGUAAUGCGGGGGUUGUCAGUUCGAACCUGACUAGCGGCU
rnacentral:tRNA from 1 species